ACUUGUGGCCGUACCACCCCGAGCAAACCAGACCUCACAAGCUGAGCAGGGUCGAGCCUGGUGAGGACUUGGAUGGGAUUCCUUGGAAUACCAGGUGCUGUAAGCG
rnacentral:rRNA from 1 species